AUGUGGGGCCUUAUGCAUCAAGGAAGUUUAUUACUUUAUCAGAGCUCUCCUCCUCCUGCCACAGAUCGAAACCAGAGAUGUCUGAGGUGGAGCUGGGCACCUGUUCUUGUGAGGGGGCCACCCCCUUGGUGUAUUGCUGGUGAAAGCCUGCAGCCUUCCAAGGUCAUCAGCCAACAUCCUGGCUCCAGCUGAGCAAGAUGCAAAGGUUUGCAGAAGUCAGCAAAAAAAAGGAAGACAAAAAAAAAAAGUUGUGAUGAUUGUAAAUCGGAUGCCCACAGUGAUAGGAGCCCUAGGCUGGAGAUGUGCUGGUGAGUACAUAACACAUUCCUGAGGGGCAUUGGUCUACCUGGAAAUAGCAAUGAGCAGCAGAAGUUUUUCAUUCUUCAGUAUUCCUCUGAUUCAACUUUGGCUUGCAAGCUGCUAAUAACAAUACUGGCAGUACUUUGGCUGUGAUCAUUUAUUUAUUGCAAUGCUGAUAGAUAGGUGAGCUUUAUGUCAGAAAAUUAAAAAAGAUGGGGUUUUCAAGGCUUUUCCUUUGGUAAGAAGGGUUCUUUUCAAUGUAGAUGGCUGUUUCUGGGCCUGAAAUGUUGCAGAGACAAUUACUACUUUUGUGGCAUGGCAAAACUUGUUAAUGGUACCAAAGGAUCCAACUGCAUCCAUGUUCUGGUACGUGGUUGUGCUCCUUCCCAAAUGACCCACAAAGAUGCUUGUAAAGGCAUCAGCACAUUGUUGGCAGGAAAAAAGUGCAUCUGAGAGAAAAAAAAAAAAAAACAAAAACAAAAACAUCCAAAGUUUUCAAAAUACAAUCCAAAAGCUGUGAGACAGUAUCUCACAGUGCUAUGGGCUGAAUGUCAAAGCUCUUUUAAGCUUUAAGUAAUGAGAGCCCAGCUUGUCUCUGAGGUAAGCAGCUUCCAAGGAGCUGAUGCUUGGACCCCUAGCAAUAGUCAGCCAAUACAUUGCAUUUUUAAUGACAAAAUAUACUGUGGAUUAGAUGGAGUAUAACACUUUUCUAAGGUGAGUCAAUAGACCUAAAGUGCAGAAGUGUCCCAGGUGCCACUCAGAGUCAGCAGGGAGAUUGUGACCGACUCCAGGAGUGACUCCUCCAUCACCCCAGUUUAUCAGUCUACUUUCAGAAGGAUUUACCACAGACAUGAGCCUGUGCCAGAAAACCAGCUUGGGAUCAGGUAGCAAAGGAUGCUGAACUC
rnacentral:lncRNA from 1 species